CAUUUAGCCUGCUUGCAUCCCGCGGUGCUCGGCUUCUCCGGCUGCUCCUCUCCUCGCGCCGCAGCCCGGAUCUUCCUCGCCACGUACCGGCAGGCUGCAAACAGAACGACACAAACACGAACGCUGAAGCUUCAAACAUGUCAGCAGGAUGGUGGGUAUUAUGGGAUGGCAUCGUCUCCUUUCCUGUCAUAGAGAUCCUCCUGAGUCUCCUGCUGAGUGAGCAGAGUCUGUUCAUUUUCAUUACUGCCAGGGUCAUGGUGGGGGCGGAGCCUAUCACAGGUGUCAUAAGCUGGACUCUGAACAUCUGGGCUGCCUGAGAAGAAGAAUAAAACCAUCCACACAAAGAUUAGGAGCUGUAAAGCGAUCGGGGUGAGUUUUACUGCUCUCAGUGUGUAGCUGUUCAGUGUUGAAUGAUCACAGAUGAACCUGCUUCAGUCUCAGGAGAGUGAAGGAGGAGUCCUGCAUCAGUAUCUGUUCAGUUAGGUUGUUAUAUAUUUGGACACUGACACAAGUUUUG